AACGAACGCUGGCGGCAGGCUUAACACAUGCAAGUCGAGCGCCCCGCAAGGGGAGCGGCAGACGGGUGAGUAACGCGUGGGAAUCUACCCAUCCCUACGGAAUAGCUCCGGGAAACUGGAAUUAAUACCGUAUACGCCCUACGGGGGAAAGAUUUAUCGGGGAUGGAUGAGCCCGCGUUGGAUUAGCUAGUUGGUGGGGUAAAGGCCUACCAAGGCGACGAUCCAUAGCUGGUCUGAGAGGAUGAUCAGCCACAUUGGGACUGAGACACGGCCCAAACUCCUACGGGAGGCAGCAGUGGGGAAUAUUGGACAAUGGGGGCAACCUCGAUCCAGCCAUGCCGCGUGAGUGAUGAAGGCCUUAGGGUUGUAAAGCUCUUUCACCGGGGAAGAUAAUGACGGUACCCGGAGAAGAAGCCCCGGCUAACUUCGUGCCAGCCGCCGCAGUAACAC
rnacentral:rRNA from 1 species